rnacentral:lncRNA from 1 species
GGCGUUUUUCAAUAAAAACGUACUUUCUUGUCCCAGCCACUUUAAAAAAAAAUGUGUUUGAUCUUUGCAAGUAAUUUUUUGUGCAGUCAGUACAUUGAAUUAGAUAUAACAUUUUUAAGCAAAGAAACAGUUUAUUUUUUUAGAGGGAUUGAUAAGAUAUUGAUUCCUGAAUGGUCCAAAACAACCAAAAUGGCAUGUCCCUAGACCGCCUGUUCAACAUUCAUACUCUCAAAUAUCGUAAAAAAAUGUAGAAAUAAAUAUUAAUUUUACUUAAUAUAAGUUCUUUAAUAAUUCAAAAGUAUGUUUAGAGCCAACAUAUUUUAAUAAACAGCUUUUAACAUAGGAUUUUUUAUUUUAGAAGGUGUGUCCCUAACACAAUGUCCACUACGAAACG